GUUCUUUGUGUUAAUCAAUGUUACUGAAAAGAGUUCUGUAUUAUUUUGUUUUUUAUAAAUCAAUUUGCAUGCAUUAUUUGGUGGGUGUUGUUCAAUUGUUGAAUGGUAACUCUUAUUGCAUUAAUAGCUUGAGCAACAUGUUAGAUUGGACUUAAAAGUGAGUAGUUCUACCAGUUCCUACUGCUGCUUUCUCUUGCCGCUCAUAAAACAUCUUU
rnacentral:misc_RNA from 1 species